rnacentral:rRNA from 1 species
UACGGAGGGGGCUAGCGUUGUUCGGAAUCAUUGGGCGUAAAGGGCGCGUAGGCGGCCGGCCAAGUCGGAUGUGAAAUCCCUCGGCUCAACCGAGGAACUGCACUCGAUACUGGUUGGCUAGAGUCCGGGAGGGGAUGGUGGAAUUCCCAGUGUAGCGGUGAAAUGCGUAGAUAUUGGGAAGAACACCGGUGGCGAAGGCGGCCAUCUGGACCGGAACUGACGCUGAGGCGCGAAAGCCAGGGGAGCGAAUGGG